rnacentral:rRNA from 1 species
GACGAACGCUGGCGGCGUGCCUAAUACAUGCAAGUUGAGCGCUGAAGGUUGGUUCUUGUCCCAACUGGAUGAGCAGCGCACGGGUGAGUAACGCGUGGGGAAUCUGCCUUUGAGCGGGGGACAACAUUUGGAAACGAAUGCUAAUACCGCAUAAAAACUUUAAACACAAGUUUUAAGUUUGAAAGAUGCAAUUGCAUCACUCAAAGAUGAUCCCGCGUUGUAUUAGCUAGUUGGUGAGGUAAAGGCUCACCAAGGCGGUGAUACAUAGCCGACCUGAGAGGGUGAUCGGCCACAUUGGGACGGAGACACGGCCCAAACUCCUACGGGAGGCAGCAGUAGGGAAUCGUGGGCAAUGGACGAAAGUCUGACCGAGCAACGCCGCGUGAGUGAAGAAGGUUUUCGGAUCGUAAAACUCUGUUGGUAGAGAAGAACGUUGGUGAGAGUGGAAAGCUCAUCAAGUGACGGUAACUACCCAGAAAGGGACGGCUAACUACGUG